rnacentral:rRNA from 1 species
CCUUUGACGUUAGCGGCGGACGGGUGAGUAACACGUGGGUAACCUACCUAUAAGACUGGGAUAACUUCGGGAAACCGGAGCUAAUACCGGAUAAUAUUUCGAACCGCAUGGUUCGAUAGUGAAAGAUGGUUUUGCUAUCACUUAUAGAUGGACCCGCGCCGUAUUAGCUAGUUAGUAAGGUAACGGCUUACCAAGGCGACGAUACGUAGCCGACCUGAGAGGGUGAUCGGCCACACUGGAACUGAGACACGGUCCAGACUCCUACGGGAGGCAGCAGCC